ACCACACAAAACAUAUGUGCCAUAGAAUGAACUUGGCCUAAUGGCUCACUGAAAUACAAGAGACCACAUGGCAUGGAGAACUGUGGAACGUGUUAGUGGGAGGAGGCUGGCAAGAACUUACAGAUGGCAGGACGAAUGAAGUAGAACAAAAGCUGUACCUGGUAAAGCAGCUGUGGUCAUUCCAGUGAUUCCCAGAAAAAGAGGACAUUUGGUCGUUUUUGUGGUUUGGAUAAUAUUAUUUUCGUUUUGAUUUUUUUUCUUAUUUCGCUUGUUGAUUUUUGAUAUUCAGACACGAUGAUGGAGUGCUUUUGUUGUUUCUUGCUUCAACAUGGUCACAGUGACCUUGUCUGAUGUUGGUAUCCUGUGAAAUUGCUUAUGGGCAACAAGAGAGUUGAGGGCCAGGCCUGCCUCUGAAGGUCAAAGGCUGUUUCUCUCUCACAAUAAUCCUAUAAGCAUUUCACCUCAAGAAGUGUUCCU